GAUCCUGGCUCAGGAUGAACGCUAGCUACAGGCUUAACACAUGCAAGUCGAGGGGAAACGACAUCGAAAGCUUGCUUUUGAUGGGCGUCGACCGGCGCACUGGUGAGUAACGCGUAUCCAACCUGCCCACCACUUGGGGAUAACCUUGCGAAAGUAAGACUAAUACCCAACUGAUAUCUCUAGAAGACAUCUGAAAGGGAAGUUAAAGUAAUUUAUUCAGUGAUGGAGUGGGGAGUGCGU
rnacentral:rRNA from 1 species